CUGCCACCAAAGAACCUCUUGCACUGGAAAUUGGGUACUUCUCUAGGAUCUUAUGUGUGCUUGCUGUUUGAAGCUGCAGAAAAGUGAAUAAUCAAUUAAGUAUUGAUUUCUUGUAAGAUUUGGUAAAUUUCAAAGGCAAGACAAAGAGGAUGGCUUAAGGAAACACUGCAGGGACUUGGCGUAAAUUAGACAACUAACGGAGAUGCAGAAUAAAAUAACACCUCAAGUGAAGAUUUCCUUGGAAGAAUUAGCACUAGCUAUUGGAAGACAACGGUGGAUUUAAUCAAAAUAGAAGGCAUGCAAGAAUUUCACCCGUGAACGAGAAAAAGGAGCUAAUUAUAACCACCUUUUAAAUGGAGCUAAUUUGACUGAAUGGAUGCAAAUGUGCUUUACUUAUGGAUGAAGAAACAAGCCUUUCUGCAUGAUCUUGGGAUCAUUUUAUCUGCUAAGCAUUGCAGCUCCUGUGCCCUUCUACACAUUUUUAUUUCCAGAGAAGGUAUUUAUAUGUAAACAAGAGCUAACCAUGCAAAAGAUUCAUCCAUCGGGACAAUAGACUACGGUGAAGUCUUCUUAUGAAGUGGAUUUGCUCCUUCAUCUUUCAGUACAUGAUGUCAGUCUCAAGCAAUAGCAGGCCUUUUAUUUCCCAGAAGAUACUCAUCACUGUGGGCAAACUAAUGACACAUGUUAAGGAAUUCAGUCUUAUGGAAAUCAUCUAAAGGUUUAGAAAUUAGCCACUGAUGAUCUCUAUCAAGAAGAAAGACUAUGCUAUCCUCUCAUUUGCCUUCUGAACAGCAAGAAUGAAAAUUCCAAAAUCAUAGUGGGUUUUUCAAUAUCCACACAGAAAAUGACCGUUUCGUAGUCUGGUUAUUUCAACCUUCACAAUGACCAUUUCAGUGAAGUAUUGUGACCUAACUGCCUAGAAAUCAUCUGCAACUCCACUGAAAAAAAGCUCUCUAUGGAAAGAAUAAUUCAGUGUCUCUGGAUUACUCGUGGAUGUUUGAGUAGCAAUUUCACGAUCAACCUAUUGUUUUACCUCCAACACAACUUAACCCACAUUUCCAAGGAUGAAAAUUAACUUCUUAAGAAAAAACUACUAUACAAUAAGCAAUCAAAAGUCUUGGAAGAAGGCUAGGUGGAAGAUUAAGCUAGUGUCGCUAAGCUGGAGUGGAUCGUCAUAAAUCACACAAAUGAAAAUAAAAGGAACAUUUUUAAAAUGAGAAUGGUAUCUUCGCUGUUAGCAACGUAGAGAUAUAGCUAAUGGAAACUGAAAAUGGGAAGCAUUUGUAUUCACUGUUUAAAAAGUGUGCAUAAACAUAUAUAUAACCAACAAUUGGAAGCCAAUAAUCAUCAGUAUUGAUUAUUAUUAAAGGGUUGUUUAAAUAAAUUUUUGUACAUCAACACAAGAGAAUACAGUGCAACAAAAGGUGAUGAAAUAGUCUGUUUAUCUGAUCCUACCCAAUAAUGAAUGCGAAUGCAUCUUAUUAAUACAUAUAGCAAUGUAACAUGUAUGUUAUAUAGAUAUUGAAAGUGAGUUCCAGAUACGAUAAGGAAAAAGCAAGAUAUAGAGAAAGCAUAUUAUAUGUUUCCAUGUGCAUUUGGAUAUGUAUGUAUUUUAUUGCAAUAUGUAAAAAAAAAGGGUCAAAGACAUAACUGCUCACUUAAAAGCAAACUCCAUUUCACUUUUGCUUCUUUUGACAAAUUUUAACAAACCAUAUCAAUGUUAAACCAGAAGAUAAUUUAGUUAAUGUAGAACAAUGAUUUAAAGAUUUAUAUGACAUAUUUUUGAUAUUCUAGUCAUGAAAAUCAUAAUUACCAUAGAAACAGCUUACUAUAAUGGCUCAUGCAGUAUAAAACUAAAGAAAAGCCAUUUCAUAUUGCAAGCUAUGAAAUAAUUCAUUUGGGAUAAACAACCAAGCAGUACUGCUGGCAGGAUUGCCAGGUAAAACUCUUGUGGUUAUUUGCUGACUCAAUCAAAAGUAAAAGGUUAUAUUAUUCAUUCAAU
rnacentral:lncRNA from 1 species